AACGAACGCUGGCGGCAGGCCUAACACAUGCAAGUCGAGCGGUAGAGAGGUGCUUGCAUCUCUUGAGAGCGGCGGACGGGUGAGUAAUGCCUAGGAAUCUGCCUAGUGGUGGGGGAUAACGUUCGGAAACGGACGCUAAUACCGCAUACGUCCUACGGGAGAAAGCGGGGGAUCUUCGGACCUCGCGCCAUUAGAUGAGCCUAGGUCGGAUUAGCUAGUUGGUGAGGUAAUGGCUCACCAAGGCGACGAUCCGUAACUGGUCUGAGAGGAUGAUCAGUCACACUGGAACUGAGACACGGUCCAGACUCCUACGGGAGGCAGCAGUGGGGAAUAUUGGACAAUGGGCGAAAGCCUGAUCCAGCAAUGCCGCGUGAGUGAUGAAGGCCUUAGGGUUGUAAAGCUCUUUUACCCGAGAUGAUAAUGACAGUAUCGGGAGAAUAAGCUCCGGCUAACUCCGUGCCAGCAGCCGCGGU
rnacentral:rRNA from 1 species